UCAUAUCGACGGGGUUGUUUGGCACCUCGAUGUCGGCUCAUCACAUCCUGGGGCUGGAGCAGGUCCCAAGGGUUCGGCUGUUCGCCGAUUAAAGCGGUACGUGAGCUGGGUUUAGAACGUCGUGAGACAGUUCGGUCCCUAUCUGCCGUGGGUGUUCGAGACUUGAGAGGAGCUGUCCCUAGUACGAGAGGACCGGGAUGGACGCACCUCUGGUGGACCUGUUGUCG
rnacentral:rRNA from 1 species